rnacentral:rRNA from 1 species
UACGGAGGGGGCUAGCGUUGUUCGGAAUUACUGGGCGUAAAGCGCACGUAGGCGGCUUUGUAAGUCAGAGGUGAAAGCCCGGAGCUCAACUCCGGAAUUGCCUUUGAGACUGCAUCGCUUGAAUCCAGGAGAGGUGAGUGGAAUUCCGAGUGUAGAGGUGAAAUUCGUAGAUAUUCGGAAGAACACCAGUGGCGAAGGCGACUUACUGGACACAUAUUGACGCUGAGGUGCGAAAGCGUGGGGAGCAAACAGG